AACCCUAAAGGCAGAUGACUCGAG
rnacentral:piRNA from 1 species